rnacentral:rRNA from 1 species
GAUGAACGCUGGCGGCGUGCCUAAUACAUGCAAGUCGAGCGAACAGACGAGGAGCUUACUCCUCUGACGUUAGCGGCGGACGGGUGAGUAACACGUGGAUAACCUACCUAUAAGACUGGGAUAACUUCGGGAAACCGGAGCUAAUACCGGAUAACAUGUUGAACCGCAUGGUUCAACAGUGAAAGACGGUCUUGCUGCCACUUAUAGAUGGAUCCGCGUCGCAUUAGCUAGUUGGUAAGGUAACGGCUUACCAAGGCAACGAUGCGUAGCCGACCUGAGAGGGUGAUCGGCCACACUGGAACUGAGACACGGUCCAGACUCCUACGGGAGGCAGCAGUAGGGAAUCUUCCGCAAUGGGCGAAAGCCUGACGGAGCAACGCCGCGUGAGUGAAGAAGGUCUUCGGAUCGUAAAACUCUGUUAUUAGGGAAGAACAAAUGUGUAAGUAACUAUGCACGUCUUGACGGUACCUAAUCAGAAAGCCACGGCUAACUACGUG